GGUGGUGUAGACUAAUUGGUUAGGCCAGCUUCAUGGACUGGAGGAGAUGCGGGUUCAAAUCCCGUCGUCGCCC